rnacentral:rRNA from 1 species
UGGGGAAUUUUGGACAAUGGGCGAAAGCCUGAUCCAGCAAUGCCGCGUGUGUGAAGAAGGCCUUCGGGUUGUAAAGCACUUUUGUCCGGAAAGAAAUCCUUGGCUCUAAUACAGUCGGGAGAUGACGGUACCGGAAGAAUAAGCACCGGCUAACUACGUGCCAGCAGCCGCGGUAAUACGUAGGGUGCAAGCGUUAAUCGGAAUUACUGGGCGUAAAGCGUGCGCAGGCGGUUUGCUAAGACCGAUGUGAAAUCCCCGGGCUCAACCUGGGAACUGCAUUGGUGACUGGCAGGCUAGAGUAUGGCAGAGGGGGGUAGAAUUCCACGUGUAGCAGUGAAAUGCGUAGAGAUGUGGAGGAAUACCGAUGGCGAAGGCAGCCCCCUGGGCCAAUACUGACGCUCAUGCACGAAAGCGUGGGGAGCAAACAGGAUUAGAUACCCUGGUAGUCCACGCCCUAAACGAUGUCAACUAGUUGUUGGGGAUUCAUUUCCUUAGUAACGUAGCUAACGCGUGAAGUUGACCGCCUGGGGAGUACGGUCGCAAGAUUAAAACUCAAAUGAAUUGACGGGGUCAUAGCUGUUUCCU